CAUAAAUCUGGCUUUCAAAAUUCCAGAAUUCUCAAAAAUCCAGCACUUUUUAAAACUACAGUACACUACAUUAUUGCAUUAUUGCAUAGCUUCCCAAUAAUCCAGAAAUUCCUCCAGAAGUCCGAUGCUUCUCUCACUACCAUUGUUUUUGUUCGUCAGCCUACAGCUAUUGUUUUGAACAAUACUCAGUCACGUGCAAAGUAUAAUUGUCCUAAGGCUAUGCACUUUCCUUAUUUUUCAAAAAUUUGGAAUUUUCAAAUUUCUGGCAGGUGCUAGGUCUUAAGGAUGCUGAAUUUAUGAGGUCAUACUGUACAUGAGACACAGUGGCAGUUUAAUUAGAGCAUCUGUUGGAGCUGCUCUAAUUAAAGCACCGCCUCCCAUACCCCCAGAGCAUGUGUAAAAGUGCCCUAAUGGGGCUGAAAUGCAUUCAUAUCAGUGCAAUUGGUGAUAUGUCAGCACUUGAAUUUUACUUGUAUUUUAACAUAGGUUAAUUAUGUUGUCUUCAUUAACCUGACUGAAAGUUCUAGUGUAGGAACACUUGUGUCCUGUCUACAUUAAAAUUUAGAGUUGAGUGACUUGACUUAUUAAAAACACAACUAAGAAUUCCAACAUAAUCACAACCAAAAAGGGGAAUUUGACCCAAACAUAUUAGGUGUCAAAAUAUUUGGAUAAACCCUUUUGUUUAAUAAUCAGAGUGCUGGCUCACUAAAAGACAGAGGAGGCAGUUAGCUCAUUGUACAUACAUCCAGUCAUUUCCCUGCAGGAACUGCUUGCCAUCAGAGGGCUAGAUUUUUUUUUCACCUCCCCCACUGUAAAAAUGUUAAAGAAAGAACGAAAACAAUUGUCAAUGUGUGUUUGGUAGAGCAUAUCAUUUUUGCCUGUAAACUUGGUAAACAAAUAUAUAUAUGCUUUGUGACAUGGAUAUGAGUUUCACUAACCUUGCAUUUAUCCAUUGGUCCAGUCUACAAGAAUGUCAAAUUGUGGUCUACUGAGAGCUGGUUGGUCAAAUGGUGCUGGCUCUUCGUCUUUAUUUUGAGUUGCUAAACUGUACUGAGAGAGCAGCUAAAAGUUAAACAUGUCCCUAAUGCUGUUUUUCCAUAUACACAAUUGCUCUAGCUACCACAGAAAGUUUAUGUGGCUGUGAAACUACUUUCUCUCCUUACUAUAUAGUCACAAACAGGAGUAGGGGUGCCCCACAUGAUUGUGAGCAGACUGGAAGGUAGUUCACUACCACCAUCCUGUAUUCAAACAUACUGCUUGCUAGGAGAAAGUAUUGGAAGUUUUGCUUUGCCUGAUUGAUAACAAUUGGGUGCUACAAUCACUGUAACAUUUGGAUGCUACUUGGUUAGCAUAUUGGUGCCCUAUAUCAACUCUUGCCUUGUUCCUGCCUAGCCAUGUACUUUGUGUUUGAUAUUAUGUUUGGGAAAUAAUGCAUGGCUGCUGGUCCACACAGAACAUCAGAGCAAAACUGGUUUCUGAUAACCAUGAUGAAUACAGCAUGACAAACACUCUUGUUUGCUGGGAAGGUAAUUUGUCCUUUUGUGUACAUGUUCUUAACAUUGCUUCUCUAUGCAUAGAAAAAAUAUGUACAAAAAACCACAAUUGUAAGCUUGUAUAAUGCCCUCUAAUUAAUCAUCUGUGCUGUGCCCCCUGUAAAACAAUAGCAUAUGCAUAUAAAAUAACUAGAGCUUAGAGAAGCUGCUCAGAUAGUUUGGGUCUGGCACUGCUGAGAAAUACCAAGCAUUAGACUGCAUAGGGAAUGUAAUGGAGAUUAAUAUUAAAAAUAUAAUAAUGUUGUGCUAUA